AAAGGAAUUGACGGGGACCCGCACAAGCGGUGGAGCAUGUGGUUUAAUUCGAAGCAACGCGAAGAACCUUACCAGGGUUUGACAUACGGGUGCAACUUCCAGAGAUGGGAGGUUUCUUCGGAACACCCGAUACAGGUGGUGCAUGGUUGUCGUCAGCUCGUGUCGUGAGAUGUUGGGUUAAGUCCCGCAACGAGCGCAACCCUUAUCGCUAGUUACUAACAUUAAGUUGAGGACUUUAGCGAGACUGCCAGUGAUAAACUGGAGGAAGGCGGGGAUGAGGUCAAAUCAUCAUGCCCCUUAUACCCUGGGCUACACACGUGCUACAAUGGUCGGUACAAAGAGAAGCGAAACGGUGACGUCAAGCAAACCUCAUAAAGCCGAUCUCAGUUCGGAUUGUAGUCUGCAACUCGACUACAUGAAGAUGGAAUCGCUAGUAAUCGCGGAUCAGAAUGCCGCGGUGAAUACGUUCCCGGGUCUUGUACACACCGCCCGU
rnacentral:rRNA from 1 species